GGAAGGGGUGUAUUUAUUAGAUAAAAAACCAAUGCCCUUCGGGGCUCUUUGGUGAUUCAUGAUAACUUAACGGAUCGCAUGGCCUUGCGCCGGCGACGGUUCAUUCAAAUUUCUGCCCUAUCAACUUCCGAUGGUAAGGUAUUGGCUUACCAUGGUUUCAACGGGUAACGGGGAAUUAGGGUUCGAUUCCGGAGAGGGAGCCUGAGAAACGGCUACCACAUCCAAGGAAGGCAGCAGGCGCGCAAAUUACCCAAUCCCGACACGGGGAGGUAGUGACAAUAAAUACUGAUACAGGGCUCUUUUGGGUCUUGUAAUCGGAAUGAGUACAAUUUAAACCCCUUAACGAGGAACAAUUGGAGGGCAAGUCUGGUGCCAGCAGCCGCGGUAAUUCCAGCUCCAAUAGCGUAUAUUAAAGUUGUUGCAGUUAAAAAGCUCGUANUUGAACCUUGGGCCUGGCUGGCCGGUCCGCCUCACCGCGUGUACUGGUCCGGCCGGGCCUUUCCUUCUGGAGACCGCAUGCCCUUCACUGGGUGUGUCGGGGAACAGGACUUUUACUUUGAAAAAAUUA
rnacentral:rRNA from 1 species